rnacentral:rRNA from 1 species
AGUUUGAUCCUGGCUCAGGAUGAACGCUAGCUACAGGCUUAACACAUGCAAGUCGAGGGGCAGCAUGGUCUUAGCUUGCUAAGGCCGAUGGCGACCGGCGCACGGGUGAGUAACGCGUAUCCAACCUGCCUUACACUCUUGGACAGCCUUCUGAAAGGGAGAUUAAUACAAGAUGUUAUCAUGAGUAAGCAUUUUCGCAUGAUUAAAGGUUUACCGAUGUAAGAUGGGGAUGCGUUCCAUUAGAUAGUAGGCGGGGUAACGGCCCACCUAGUCUUCGAUGGAUAGGGGUUCUGAGAGGAAGGUCCCCCACAUUGGAACUGAGACACGGUCCAAACUCCUACGGGAGGCAGCAGUGAGGAAUAUUGGUCAAUGGACGAGAGUCUGAACCAGCCAAGUAGCGUGAAGGAUGAAGGUUCUAUGGAUUGUAAACUUCUUUUAUACGGGAAUAAACGAAUCCACGUGUGGAUUUUUGCAUGUACCGUAUGAAUAAGGAUCGGCUAACUCCGUGCCAGCAGCCGCGGUAAUACGGAGGAUCCGAGCGUUAUCCGGAUUUAUUGGGUUUAAAGGGAGCGUAGAUGGGUUGUUAAGUCAGUUGUGAAAGUUUGCGGCUCAACCGUAAAAUUGCAAUUGAUACUGGCAGUCUUGAGUACAGUUGAGGUAGGCGGAAUUCGUGGUGUAGCGGUGAAAUGCUUAGAUAUCACGAAGAACUCCGAUUGCGAAGGCAGCUUACUAACCUGUAACUGACAUUGAUGCUCGAAAGUGUGGGUAUCAAACAGGAUUAGAUACCCUGGUAGUCCACACGGUAAACGAUGAAUACUCGCUGUAGGCGAUAUACAGUCUGCGGCCAAGCGAAAGCAUUAAGUAUUCCACCUGGGGAGUACGCCGGCAACGGUGAAACUCAAAGGAAUUGACGGGGGCCCGCACAAGCGGAGGAACAUGUGGUUUAAUUCGAUGAUACGCGAGGAACCUUACCCGGGCUUAAAUUGCAACCGAAUAUGGCGGAAACGCCAUAGCUAGCAAUAGCGGUUGUGAAGGUGCUGCAUGGUUGUCGUCAGCUCGUGCCGUGAGGUGUCGGCUUAAGUGCCAUAACGAGCGCAACCCUUGCCGAUAGUUACUAACAGGUCAUGCUGAGGACUCUGUCGGGACUGCCAUCGUAAGAUGUGAGGAAGGUGG